rnacentral:rRNA from 1 species
AGGUUGAGGAUUGGAGCUGCAGCCCCGAGCAGGCCAUCGUGUCCAAACCGCAUCAGUGCGUUUGAGAAGGCAGUCCGGAGUUUUGCUAAUAAUCCUACGGAGACUGUUAUCACGCCAGCUAUCGGCACAACAUUCGACUCGGUUGGUGAGUCUUACGACUUCUACAAUUUGUACUCCUAUGAGAAGGGAUUUUGCAUUCGUUAUGGGAAAAGCGGGUUAAAUGUGGAGAGGACAAAAUGUAUGCAGUAGAUAGUUUGUGGUUGCUCGGGAAAAGCAGGGGUCGAGAACACAAGAUCUUGUCGUUGUGAGUGUCCUGCUCUAAUUGGGCUGCUACGAGCGGAGGACAACGACUGGUAUAUUGCGGAGCAUAGGGAUACGCACAACCACUCGUUGUCGCCUAAUUUCGGUGAGACAAUCCACUGGCCAUCACACAAACACAUUGAUGUGUACACCAGAGAUCUUGUGAAUCAGUUGAGGCAGAACAAUGUGAAUUUGGCAAACGUGUACAACAUCAUUGGGUUUUUUGGAUUGAUGGAUAAUGUUCUAUUCACAAAGAGGUCUUUGCGUAAUUUAUGUGGGAAGAUAAAUAGGGACCAUGCCGAGGAUGAUGUGAAGAAGACAAUUGAUGUGUUUGCUGAUAUAGGGGCUAAAGGUCCACACUUCACAUAUAGGGUUCAGUCUGACAACGAGGGGAGGAUCAAGAAUCUGAUGUGGGCAACCCGGAGCAGUAGGUUGCAGUACUCAUUUUUUGGGGAUGUCAUCACUUUUGACACAACUUGCCGAACAAACCUGUACGACAUGCCUUUCGGCUUGUUUAUUGGCGUGAACAACCACUUCCAGAGUAUUCUCCUUGCGGGAGUCCUUGUGCGUGAUGAAACUAAAGAUAGUUUUGUAUGGGUUUUCUCAGAAUUCCUCCGAAUGAUGGCUGGCUCUCCACCUGUGACCAUACUAACAGGUAAUAUCCUCGUAUAUGUUGUGAAAUACUAA